rnacentral:rRNA from 1 species
CCCUAAGUUUAGCUUCUAAUAUUCUAAUGUAANCCAUCCCCUAAUAAAUACAAGUAAAACAUNUNGGCAGUUUAGUAAGUGUGACUAAAAAACUAAUCUAAAGCUAUAAAUUAAGUACCGCAAGGGAAUAAUGAAAUAGAANUUAAUUAAAACUAANGCAUAAA